rnacentral:lncRNA from 1 species
CAUUUCAUCCAAAAUACCAAUCACAUUCAUUGUAUAAUCGUACAAGUGUCCAUUACAUGAAAAAAAAAACAACUUUGACCAAAUGUUGACUUUGGUCAACCUUGACCAAACUCAACACAUGUUUUCUAAAUUUUUUUGAACUUCACUCUUCAUACUUCAUUCUUUAUCUCAUACAUCUUCCAACCACUUGGUAUGCCAUUUCAAGCAAACAUAUUUUCAUCCUUAAACUAUGGCCAUUGAGCUUCUUUAUUGACUAUGUUGAAACUUUAAUUCAAUGCACAUCAACCCUGCAUAUAGAUCAGUAACCCAAUCAAAGUUCAUACGAGCUUAUGACAUUACAUCCAAAAUCAUGGCAUGUAACAAGCAAUCACAAACAUUCAUUCUGUCAUGCAUAACCAAGUGCACAUUGGCAUUGCAUAAUCAUCAGCAUCUAACAAAACAAACAUUCAAACCACAUUGCUGCAUCACCACCUGAAUCAUACAAUAACCAUUGAAACUCAUGAGCCUUACCUGCUGCAAGCUUGGUCCUGAACCAUAACCAAAACCACAUGCAUAACCAUGUCAUAAGUGCAAUGAAACAUGAAUAAAUACCUAUAAUCUUGCAACAAUACCAAUUUGACCUAAACCUGCAAACAAAAUAUUCCAAGGGCCAAGCCAUAAUUCAGCUACACCAUGAGCCAAUGCAAGCUUGCCAUGGGCCAUACCUGCCUAGCAUCCCACCUGCAACAUACAAAACUUUGCAGCAUCAACAUAAACAUGAUUGCAUGACAACCAUAACAAAUCAUACAUGCACCUCAAGACUUACAUGAAACACGCAUACCAAGUCACAAAUGCAGCAAGCCAUACACACUAGUCUUGUACCUGCAACACCAAACAUAUCAUGAGCCAAUCAUCUAUGUUCAUAGGCCACACCUGCACACACCAACAAACAGGGAAAUUCGACAUUACAAAGCCAUAUUCCAAAAACUGCAUAUGUCAUAAAAACAUGAUUCCAAUUAACCUAUAAUCUAACAUAACACUAACAAAAACCUGCCAAUUGACUUAACAAGCAUCACCUUCAGCUCACCUAAUUGAUAAGUGCGAAGCCAUGUCUUACAAACCUGCAAUGCAAAAAAACCCAUGCCGACUCUACAUCAAGUCAUGACAAAACCUGCUGCAAUGCAAAAAGACCAAAGGUUCAUCAUGAGCAUCAUGCCCAACAGACCAAUGUAGUAGUUGCAAGGUAAUAAAAGCAUAAGCACAUGUCAUCAUGUAUUAACAUGCAUUCCAACACCAAGUAAUGCAUAAUAGUUAACAUCCACUAACAACCAUAGCAUGACAUUUAAUCACAACAUUACCAUUUCACCAGCAAUCAUUUAACAUUGGUUCAUGACAACCUUUCUAAUUAGUAGCAGGGCGUUACAUUCACUUAAAUACAACAAUCAUUUAACUUCCAUCAAUAGAAAGUGACCAAAGGGCAAUGAAAACAAAAUAUUACCAAUUCAGCAGGUCAUUCUUGUGCAACAACUCCUCAUUGUUCACCAGUUGCAACCUGCAUUAACCAAUCAAGAUAAGCUCAGACUUAUGACCAACUAUACAUUCACUCAUCCUAAUCCACUAACUAACUAAUUCAACCAAAUAACUGCCCACUCAGUGAGUUAACAUAUUGAACUCACUAAGUUCAUCACAACUAACUCCCAAGCAAAUCCCAAACCUAACCAUAACUAACUCCUAAGCUAAAUAGAUUCCAAACCUCACUACUAUAUAAUUCAUUCUCCAUCACCAUUGUGAUCACCUUUGGAUCAAAUCUCAAGUCCUUGCACUCUAUGAAUUUCCCUUCUCAUUCAAAACCUCACUACACGCACUAUCCAGAAGCUAUUGAAGCUCAUGAUUAGAGCUUCAAUACAGCUCGUGCUAAGCCUCCUCACCAGUACCAAAACUCUCUCAGUUUACCAUUCUCAAAUUCAGAAUAAGAAGAAGGAAGAUUUGAAAGCUAAAGCAAGAGAGAAAGAUUCAUGACCAUUUACCUGAAAGCUCAUCGUCGACGUCAUCAAAUUCGUCUUCUCCGGUAAGGUACUUGUGAAACCUUCACGUUUUUUCAAUUCUUUGUUACUAGCAUGUAGAGCGUGAUGAGAGGAUUCAAAGCCCUCAUCCCAAGGGCUUUGAAUCGCUGAGGAUGAAAUUUAAUUGGAAGAUUUCACUUUAGGAUUAUUGGAGUUAAGAGAUUCGGUUAGGGGUGUGGAGUUCUGAUUUCGUGGAAUUGAUCAAUGAUUCGAGUAGAGUGUGAGGAGGUGAUCAUUUUGGUAGCUCCAGAUUUCAUUUUGGUGGCCACCGCCGCCAGAAGCAACUUCCGGCACGGUGGCCAAUGGCGUAUGUCCGACGAGUCGUUUGGAGG